GCCUCCGGGGCGGGGCGCGGCGCCAGCCUAGCCCGAGGAUGGAGGCUGAGGCCGCCUGUUGAGUCACAGUUUCCCUGUGAUGCUCAUUUUAACCAGAUGGCACUUGCUUAGCAGUUUGGAGGAGAAGACCUGUUCCCCUGCAGGUAUGGGCCUUUGGGAUCAUUACCCUCUCCAGAUCUGGCAGCUCCAUCAGGUGGUGGCUCUUUCUCCAAACGUCCUUGACAGCUUUAGUGCUCCUCCUUCUACUGUGCCCUCUGGUGAGCAGGGGUUUUCUGCAUCUGUGGUGACCAUAUUUCUGAACCCAGAUGAAUCAUGGGUAUGAGAAUUCUUGGGGUGUUCAAGGGAACAAAUAUUUAUUUAUUUAUUUAUUGAGAUAGGGUUGUACUCGGUCUGAACUCACCCAGGAGUUCAGUGGCAUGAUCGUGGCUCACUGCAGCCUCAACCCCUGGGCUCCAGCUAUCCUCCCACCUCAGCCUCCCUAGUAGCUGGGACUAAAGGUACAUACCACUAUACCCAGCUAAAUUUUUGUACUUUUUUUUUUUUAAGAGAUGGGGUUUCACCAUGUUGCCCAGGCUGGUCUCAAACACCAGGUCACAAACGAUCUUGUGACCUUGGUGCCUGCCUUGGCCUCCCAGAGUGCUGGGACUGCAGUGGGAGCGGAUCUUUGAAAUUGUGGCUGCCCUGAGAAGCCAGGGGCACAUGGCAGUUGUACCUCUGCUGGGGCAUCCUGGGAGCUUUCCAGCAAUGGGACUUCCCUUUUGGAUAUGGUCAGACUAGUUGCAUGCCUUUUUAUUUUGCUUGUUACCUAGGUUUCUCCCUCAUGAAAUUCACUUAUUUCAGUUACCAAAAAGUACUUUGUAGAUAAUGAUGGGGGCUUCUUACAUUGAUGGCCCAGAAAGGCUGGAAGAUGUAGGUUAACCAGACGGCCCAGGCACAAAAGCCAUAUCCACACAUUCUAAACAGGGAGAGUGCUGAGAGCCCACCCUUUGCUUUGUUUCUGGGAAAAAAUAUUGCCUCCUUCCCCUAAGAAACUGAUCUGAUUUUUCAGUGUGACCGUCAAUGUUCAUCUACCCUAAGGAUACUCAACUCUAUUUCAUGUUGUUGUGCAAAUAAAGCCUAAGGGUUGGUGAGAGGUUCUGGCUUCCCCUAAAAUACUCACUCACUGGUUGUGAACUCUUUUGUGAGAGGUGGAUUCUGAAAGUGAAUGUGUGGCUCUUGAAUACGGGGAUCAACACCAGCUGUGUUGGCAGCAGAACUUGCAGGGUUUUAGGGAAAGAGAUCUGGGGCAACAAAGGGAGGGUAGCUGGGCAGAGUGGGGGUGAGUGGGGUGGAGCUGGAAUGGGGAAGGCCAAGGUAAAGAUGGACCAAGAGCUGAGACUAGCUGAGGAGCCCUGGUCUGCAUGGCUGGGGCAAGGCUGGCUCAAUCUCAGCUCACUGCAACUUCCAUCUCCUGGGUUCAAGCAAUUCUCCUGCCUCAUCCUCCUGAGUAGCUGGGACUACAGGUGCCUGCCCCCAUGCCCCGCUAAUUUUCGUAUUUUUAGUAGAGACAGGUUUUCACCUCAUUGGCCAGGAUGGCCUUGAUCACUUGGCAUUAAGUGAUCCACCCACCUCGGCCUCCCAAAGUGUUAGGAUUACAGGCAUGAGCCACCAUGCCCAGCCCCUUGAACACAGGUCUUUAAAUGGUUUAUUUAACAAAUUCUUACAAGAGUCUACAAUGGGCUUGACUUACGUGGAGGAAAGAUGCCUAUUGUGGAGGAACCCUUACAGUGGACUUUUUUUUUUUUUUUGAGUCAGGGUCUCACUCUGUCACCCAGGGUGGAGUGCACUGGUGUGAUCAUGACUCACUGCAGCCUCGACCUCCUGGCUCAGGUGAUCCUCCCACCUCAGCCUCCCAAGUAGCUGAGACCACAGGUGCACACCACCACGCCCAGCUAGUUUUUUUAUUUUUUGUAGAAAUGGGGUUUCUCCAUGUUGCCUGGUCUGGUCUUGAACUCCUGGGCUCAAACGAUCUGUCCAUCUUGGCUUCCCAAAACCUGAAGCCAGGCCAGAUCAGUGGCUCUUCAGGUUGCCAUGUAGAAAGCAGCUUUGCUGGCUGCCACUUUCGAUCAAGGGCUAAACUCUGAGGGUGACAUGCCACUAAGGAGCUGAACGGAGCCUGAGUCCUUGUAGCAGAGGCUGGUCUCCAGUCCUGUCUGUUCUUCUUCUUGGGCACACAGCUAGGCUACAUUCCCUAGCCUUCCUUGGAGCUUAGAAUAAUUCCUAGCCAAUAGCAUUUGAGUAUAAUUGAGUGGGCCACCUCCAGAUGUGGCCCAUUACAAGUCACAUUCUCUGCCUCCAACCCAGGUUACUUCAGGUAAUAAUCCUUCUGCCUAGAAAGGUUGGGCACCCUGAUAUGCACAAAUCUGCAUUAACUUCACAGAUGACUCAAUUAGCAGGUGAUGACUUACUGGCAGUGUUCAUUACGGUGGCCUUUCUAGUUGUCAUCUUCCCAGAUGACAUUUUUAGAAUUUCAUCUCUACACUUUCCAAAAACACUACUUGACACCUGUGGGUUUUAAAAUGAAAUAACCUCAGAUAUGAAAUAACCUUUCCCCAAUCCAUUCAUUGUAGUUGGAAGCUGGUCUUACUAAUGGCAGGGUGACCGUAACACUUGGUUAUGAACCAGGGUAUUGCCUCCAACCAAGCCUUAACAAUCUCAUCCUCCCUUUAGCCUUCCAUGAUUAGACCUCAACUCAUGAGAACUCUUGCCUUGCUCACAAGUGGGAGUAAAUGCUCAUAGCUCUAGAAAUCUCCCAGGAACCAGACAUCACGGAAACUAGAAAGGCUAAGGGAGUCCAAUCUUCCUCUAAAUUGGCCAACAGUAGAGUGGUGGAAAGAGAACAAGCUGCAAACCAGACAGACCCAAGCUUGAAUCUCACCUCUGCCAAGCUACCAGGUACGUGAGUUUUUCCAAGUUAUAUCACUCCCCUGAUACUCAGGCGCCUCAUUUGAAAGAUGAAGCCUCUUCCUAUCUUACAAGGAUGAAGCAUAUGGAAUGGAAAGCCCUCUGUCAAUGUGGUUAUCUUUGGAAGUGAUUGCAGCUCUCUUGCUUCAUUCUCGCACACCUCUGGAGCCCUUGGUCUCAGUUAGAAUCCCAGCCCUGACACUUAAUGAGGUGUGUAACUUGUCCAAAUAAUCUAACUUCUUUGUACUGUUUCCUCAUCUUUAAAAAGAGGACAAUAAUAGCACUACCUACACAGCACUGUUGCAAGGAUUUAGUGAGUUAAAGUGUGCGUAGUACAUACAGCAGAGCGUGUAGAAGUAUCCAGUGAACUGUUAUUAUCAUAUGAAGAGACUAUUUGGUUGAUCUCGUCAAGGACAGAAAGCUCCUUGGGGCUUGAAACCUUGCCUGUAUACCAGUUACAGACUCCCUUUUGCUGUUAAACCCAGUCCUUAGGAUGCUCAGUCAAAUCCUGUGGACUUACUGGCUGUUCUGCUGACGUGGAAACAAGGUGGGGUGUGACCCAUCUCCGGGCGAGUAAACUUUUGGGCACCUGACAGUGUCAGAGCCUCGGGUACCACCUGUAAAUGGAUGGAACCCUGUGUCUGUGCCCAUAGCAUUGGUCUGGUCUGUCAUCAGAAAGGAAUCUUGCUGUCAGAUGAUCACACAUCCUCCCAUAGUCUAGUUUAGUUUAGUUUAGUUUAGUUUAGUUUAGUUUAGUUUAGUUUAGUUUAGUUUAGUUUAGUUUUUUAAGACAGGGUCUCGCUCUGUCACCCAGGCUGGAGUGCAAUGGCAUGUUCAUGGCUCACUGCAACCUUGACGUCCCAGGUUCAAGCGAUUCUCUCACUUUUGUCUCCCAAGUAGCUGGAACUACAGGCAUGCACCACCAUGCCUGGCUAAUUUAAACAUUUUUUGUAGAGAAGGGGUUUACCAGUGUGGCCCACGCUGGUCUUGAACUCCUGGGCUCAAGCGAUCCUCCUGCUUUGGCCUCCCAAAUUGUUGGGAUUAUAGGCGUGAGCCACUGCACCUGGUCCCCCAGAAGCUAAAGGAUGGUGCAGGUUCUGUUUUUAAAUGUACCUGUUAAGUAUGUAUUAGCUCAAACAGAGUUUACCUGAGAUGUGCAUCUGGGGUCCACCCUCUUUGGCACUGUCCCUCAUUUUCCUCCUCCAACAUUCUCCCAAUCUCUCUCUGUUAACCCCAACAACCUGCCACCCCUCCCUAACAAAGGAUUCCCAGCUCAAGGCCAAUUCCAAUUGGAUCGAGUUUUUCUUCUGCAGAAAUUGUGGGGAGGUGGCUUCAGAGGCUCACAAGCAGAACCCCACCCAGACACAUAAACUUUUCUUUGGCUGGUACCAACUCCUCUAUUGCAGGGUAUGGUCCAAGUAGGUUAUACAAGUCUCUACCUCUUCUAGCUGAAGCCAACCUCCCAGGAAAAGGAUGAGAGGAGAAAGCCAUCCUGCCUGGUGUGUGGAUAAUACCACCACCAGAGUCUCCUGUAAUUUUGAUUCGAUGGCAUGCAGCUGCGUGACCUAAGGCACGUAUCUCCAUUCACAGGGUGUGGUCAGUACUCUGUGAAUAUCAGGUGUUCUGUCUGCCCUGUCUCCUGUCUUCCUGGAGCCUGCCCUUACCCAGUGAGUCCCUGGAGGGAACAUUCUGGCAUCUGGCUGUGAGCUGUCACAGACAUGGGUUUCUUUCGGUUCCCAGAAUGAUGGGAUGCCAGCCGCUGGCUGCCCCCAAGAAACUUGGGAGCAGGACAGGCUUGGCUGUCCCAGAGGAAGAGCCUGGCAUUGGGCCAGGAGGCUCAGGAGGGAAGAUGAGCUCAUUCUGCCCAGCUCGGUUCUCCCGUAUGCAGACCAGGUCAUCACAGGGACCUGCCUCCACAUUUGCAUCCCCCACGGCAUAUUUUCCCAGCACAUGCAGCAUUGGGAACUUGAACGUCCCUCUGCUUUUCCUUGGUGAGACCCACCAGCCCCGCCUUAGGAAGGAGGCUGAACAUUUGACGGAGCUUUCCUGUCACCUGUGAGCGACGUGCACGCUGCUUCCGAAGAAAGAGACAUCCCCCUACUGUUUUCUCACAGUGGGAUGAUUCAACUUUUUCUUUCUCACAAUCCCAGAUAAUCAUAUCUUCCCAGGUUUUGUCAUCUUUGAGGACUACUCACUAUCUAGUUAUGAGUCAAACAAAACCCAAUUUAACUGAUAACUAACCAGCCAUCACGUAUCCCUGAAGAUAAACCUGGUUUAUCCUUUUUAUACCCUCUGGCAGAGCAAAGGAACAAGGAGUUUGGGAGAGAAAAAAAAACACAACACUAGAAACAGCACUGACACAGGUCGUUAAAUACAGAUGUGACCAGCCUUGAUUACAAGUGUUGUCAUCCUCUUUUAACAGGGACCUACCCCGAACUUUCAUGAACCCCUGGUAGCUGAAUAGCAGCUUGUCUAAGCGAGGUGCAGGGAUUUUGUCAAAGUCGGCCUCGGUGUUAAAGGCAGGGCCACCUACCAUGAACUUCUCUCUGUGACUUUAUUCUUUAGCAGUGCUCAAGUGUAAAUAAACUUGUUUACCAGGAUCAGAAUGGCCAUGUUAAUGAAGUCUUAUUUGUGUCACCACAAUGACAAGUAAUUUGUGCACAGCUGGACUCGGAGAGGGGACAAAACCAGAGAAAUUGUAUUUCUGUUCUGAAGUUUCCAUACAGAUGCCUUAGGCCAAAGUUAGUACAGCCAAUAUUUGCCUGUUUCUUUGGAUUGUGUGUCCAUGCUGGAGAAAAGCCUUGUUACUGUGCCCAGUGUGGUAAACGAAAUUAUAUGUACGCAGUGAGAAGAAAAAUGAAAUAAGAAGCACUGAUGAAUGUACCCACGGGUGUGACCUUGGGGGCCAGUGUGUGGUUUUUAUGAAAUGAACGCAUGAAUACGAGGACCCUAAUUAUUGCUUUCAACGGACAAAGUAUGGUGAAUAUAUAGAGAACGUUGCUGUACAACACUGGCUGUGUCUCAAAGCGGCUUUAGAAGUAAAUAUAGAAAUUCUUUGGUACAUGGUAUUGCAUAGAAAAGUCAUUAAGAAAAAAGCAAGACAAUUUGUUAAGACCUUGUUAAGUGGAGCUGGGGGAUGAUUAAUUUUGUUUGUUUGUUUUUGUUGUUCCCUGGUAGAGCUCAACAAACUACAGACCACGGGCCAAAUCUGACCCACCGCUGCUUUUGUAAAUAAAACUUUAUUGGAAAAAAGCCACAUUUGUGUAUGUGUUGUCUGUGGCUGCUUUUGUGCUACCGAGACAGAGGCAAGAAAGGAGAGAAAAAGAGGCAUGGAGCAGGUAUAUUACGGGUUGAAUUGAGUUCACCAAAAAGAUAUGUUGAAAUCCAAAGCCCCAGUGUCUGUGAAAGUUACCUUAUUUGGAAAUAAGGUCUUUGCCAAUGUAAAGAUAAAGUCAUGCUGAAUUAAGGUGAGCCCUAACCUAAUAUGGCUGGUGUCCUUAUAAGAAGAGAAGAGACAGACAAAGGGAAGGAGUCCAUGUGACCACAGGGCCAGUGGAAGUGAUGCAACUGCCUGCCAAGUGCACCAAGGAUGGGUGGCCACCAGCAGAAGCUCGGAAGAUGCAAGGAAGGAUUCUAUCCAGAGUUACAGAGGGAGCAUGGCCCAGCUGACACCUUGAUUUCAAACCUGUAGCCUCAAGAAAUGUGGAUAAUGACCUUCUGUCAUUUUAAGCCACCCCGUCUGCAACACUUUCUUAUGGCAAUGUGAUGGGUAAGCUUAUGUGUCAAUGUGACUGAGCCCCAGGAUGCUUAGAUACUUGAUGAAACA
rnacentral:lncRNA from 10 species